rnacentral:rRNA from 1 species
CGGAUCAGCAGUCAAGAAUAUUAGUCAAUGCUCGAAAGAGUGAACUAGCUAACUGAAAUCAAUUAAAAUAAUUGAUAACAUAAGGGAAAAUAAUGAUAUUACCUUAUUAUUAGUGUCGUCCAAAACUGGUGCCAGAAGACUCGGUAAGGCCAGAGACACAAACGUUAAUCGUCUUAAUCAGGCGUAAAGGGUUUGUAGGCGGCUUUUAAAUUUAGGUAAAAAAUAUUUUAAGUAAAGAAUAAAAGCUAGAAUCAAAUAGAGGAUAUAUGAAAGAAUGCUUAGAGUAGGUCCGAUAUCCUUAGAUACUAAGUAGAAUAUUAAAGGCGAAAGCUUUUUUCCAUUAAUGAUUGACGCUCAGAAACGAAGGUGAGGAUAGGAAAUAGGAUUAGAUACCCAGAAUACCCCUCUCUGUAAACGAUGAAUGGUAGUUAUUAGUAAAAAUUAUUAAUGGCAAUGUUAACACGAUAACCAUUCCGCCUUGUGAGUACAACUGCAAAGUUGAAAACAAAAAAAUUAGUCGGUUUCGGAGCAAACGAAGUGAAGCAUGUUAUUUAAUUCGAUAAUCCGCAAAGAGGGG